AUCUAAUUCUUGCAUGGGCUUCAGAGAAACCUGUCUCAGAUGCACCUGCUUUCCACAGCUGCCCUUGACAGGGGGGAGAGAUCCUCCUUUGAAAAUGUAGUUAUAGGAGCACAACUCAUCUGGACCUGAUUAUCUUGGGGGGAGGGGCUGGCACCUGGUGUUAAUACAAGGAGAAAGAAGCAAGGAGAGUGGUUUUCUACACAACCUUCUAGGAAGGAAGGAGGUAACAGAUGCUCAUUGUGACGUGAACGUAAUUUCAGUACCUGCAGAGGAGAAAUGACGACCGGAGCCACCCGAGCUUAAAGGGGAACAUUGAGCUGGGAUGCCUGCUACAGUAUUGCAUGAGCAGGGCUGGCCUCCAUGACAGGGCCAAGGCUGGAGGAGGACACCCUAGAGCUUCUGUCGUAUUCUGAGGAAGGAGCAAUGUAUGCAAACUGUGCCCAAACUGCUGGGAUGCAAUCCUAGGUCUCAUAUUGGGUUGGGACCCAAGUGCACAAGCACUCCUUCAGCAUCAUUGUUGUGCAGGGAAAGAAAAGCUGGUGUGAAAGGCCACCAGAAUGUGCAUAACUGCGUGGCUUGGGGCAUUUCCUCAUCACUUGGUCUCUGGAUCUGUGAAGGCCUGAAGGAUAACCUCAUCCAGAAAAUAAUUUUCUCUCCUUCCCCGUUACCAUUUUUGACUUGGAAAAUUUUUAGGAGGUUUUUAACUUCUUUUUUGUCUUAAAAGCUGGUCUCCCUCAACACACGCAAAUGAUCAAUAAAACAACUUCCAGAAGAAAUUUGGUUUUGGCUGGGAAUAGCAUUCAAAAGCUUUCCCUGUGGAGGAAGAUUCCUGCAGAAGGUUUUUCAGCUCUUCUGCCAGGAACUGUGGUUCUUUGGGCCUGCUUGAGAGACCCAGCAGUUGGCAAAGUGGCUUUUUGUACUCUCUGCUCAAUCUAUGUCACCAUUUUCCAGUUAACAGUCAUCCGGCACUCCAGGAAAGUGUUGUCAGCUGGGUUAAAGCAAUGUCAGGAACUGAGAACAACUCCGUGUUGGUAAGGCAUUUCGAAAUCAGUGCUUCAUAUGGUGGUAGUCAGAAGCUUCAUGAUGGGUCCUGGAUGCAGCCCUUCUUCCACUGCACGUGCGCAUGGUAGUAGCCGUGGUGCUGCUGUUCAGGUGAGAGUUACCAGGUCACCUCCUACUGCGCCAACAGCCAGAGUUUCAGCCUCAGCAAUGCAGUUAUUAAGCAGGUGGAUGUCUUGCUUCUUCCCAUUUGUAAUGUCUGUGCUAAAAUAUUUUAUUAAUGAAAUCACUGAUGUUUAUUACCUACUAAAUUAUCUCGUGCUCCAACAAUCUCUGAGGGUUAUUACCACAAAGACUUGCACAACAGAUGUUAAAAGCCAUCAGUUUAAAUCAACAUAUACUUUUAUUAAAAACAAAACGGAAUGUUUUUUUUCUAAUCCCUGCAUUCCAGUUGCUAAAGCUGAGAUAAUCUUCUGGAGGAGCUAAUGGAUAUUGUUAAUAGCUGGAUUGAAUUUAUAAAGAGCUAGAAGAGAACAAACAGGAGAGCAGAGACAACCUACAGCAGCAGCGAUGAGGGCGAUAAGUUGUGCUUCACUAGCAGGUCUUUCUUUGUGCCAGCUGCUUCAUCCAGUCAAGAUGAUGUACAAGAUGAAGUUGGAUAUUUGUAAUUAUUCCUUGCAUUUCCCUUCUUCUGACUCAGGAUCUGAAAUGUAAAGGGUUUAAGCAACUGUAAUAUUGUCAACGCAUGUUUGUUUCCAGCUAUUUCUUACUCCUAGUCAUUUGCUACAGUAAACUAAAAAGGCUAUUGUUUGUGGUCAGUUUAUUGCAAUAAGAUAUGUCUGUAAAGGUGACUGAAGAGCUGCUAUUUCCAGCCUAAGCUUCCUUCCCCUCCCCCACUCCCCCCAAAUACUCACCUGCAUCCAGAUGUGGAGUUCUCAGUACAGAGGAGACACUGUUGGACCAUGUCCAACGGAGGGCCACAAAAAUGAUCCAAGGGAUGGAACAGCUACUCUGCAA